rnacentral:tmRNA from 1 species
GGUCUCUAUACUUUGCACCCCCCAGAAGACCAACAACCAUUUCAUCUGGUUAACAAGCGAAGUCGCGCAGUCCUUAAAAAAUAUUCAUCCCUGAUGCGUGCCAUGGGUCUGCCAAUUUGUGGAGGGUUUUCCAGACCGAUUAGAACAACUCAUGCACUUGAAAGUGGUCAGGAUGUUUUGAUCAAUGCCAGUGUUACUGGUACUGUCCCUCAAAAUCGCCUCUCCACACAAGACCCCAGGCCAGGCGAUCUCAUUGUUUUUCUUGGAGACUUUGUUCCAACGCUGCAUCAGGAGACUGCACCAUACCUAUACACACACAGUCCACUGGAGCUAAAUAAAAUUUUGGCUGUGGUGAAACAGCUGAGUGAUACAACAACUCAGAGUUGUAUCACGAAAACCAUCCGACCCUUUGGUCACCCCAGCAUGUUGGAAGCCCUUACUGAGUUGAUACACCCAUAUGGGGCAUAUCUAGAUCUAAACAAUCUACCCCAGCCUAUAGUGUCUGCCCUAAACUCCAGCGCCCCCGCCAUACAUGAAGAAAUUGUGAAACAUCACUUCCUCAGUGUUCACUGUCCAGUCUACCUACUUGUUAUCAGCCAAGACCUCGGUCUAGAAGACGCAGCUGAGCGUGAUGCAACCCACAACCCUUUGGACAUGUUUCUAACAUUUGCUGAGAACCAUAAGCUACCAUGCGGGGUUAUUGGGACGCUGGUAGAGGACCGUGGACUCCAUUUUUGCAAAGAACUUUUUGAUGGGGGAUUUCCAGUCAAGAUAGAAUUCACAGCACAAGAAGCAACAGUCCCUCGCGGCCGCCUACCAAGAUCCAGAUCAUUUAGCAGACAUAAACCAAUGAAGUUUGAUCAGAGCUUUCUAUGGACCACAGAACAUUUUAAUGAAUCUGUUGAAGCCAUUCUAAAACACCCUGCAGUUGAAAGCAAAGAGUACAUUGUCAAACACAUCGACAGGUUGGGGCAGUACACUGUGGGACAACAACAGGGUUGUGGACCGUUGGAUCUACCAGUGUGUGAUCAUAGCAUUAUGAUGUGUACUGCACUUAAAACGACCCCCCAGCCGUUGGACGCCAGUGGUCCACGCCCCACAUUCACCACCCUCCGAGUUCAUAGUGACAGUGCAUUGGAUCUGAUCAACUCACCAACAUGCUGGUUGAGCAAUAAGGAGUAUUCCAAACCAGAAGUAUUUCCCUGUGUGGUAACAGGAGUGGGGGAGCAGUACUACAAGAUGCAGGUAGAUCCUGUCAGGGGGGCUGUCUAUGGCUUGGUUGAGGCCAUUUUGAACAUGUUGACUUCCAACUGCGUUCACGGAUGGAGAAAGAUGGCAAUAACUGGAUCAAUCUCAUGGUCCUCAGAUGAUCCUAGCUACUCCCUCCUCUACCAAACUCUGAUGGCUUGCAAGGAUUUCUGUUAUUCUUUGUCUAUACCUAUUACCUACACCAAUGCUACAAGCGGCCAGACCCAGGAUACUGGACCACGCCCGGGUCCCACUACUAAUUCCAUAGCAUUUACAGCCCAAUGUCCUGGAGUGAUGGGCACCUACAGAAAGACCACACCAGACUUUAAAAGUCAUGGAAGUUACAUCAUCUGGUUGCCAAUGAGCCAGAAGCUGACCUUGGCUGGCACCAUUUUCCAGCAGAUAUCAAAACUAAAGGCCAAUAAACUACACAAGCUGGCACCUGAGUACAUUUCAAAUCUGGCACAUGCUCUGGAGAUGUUGACAUCACGCACCGCCAUACUAAGCAUGCAUGACGUGAGCGAUGGUGGUCUAAUAGCCGCCAUUUUGGAGAUGGCCAUGGCUGGAAAUAAGGGAUGCAACAUAGAAAUGCCCUCGUACAUAACGAGACCCUUUGACAUGCUAAUAUCAGAAACUCCUGGUAUGGUUAUUGAGGUGGAAAAAAAAUCAAUGGAAAUGGUGAAAGCCAUUUUGAAAUUUAAGUCUCUGACCUACUACAAACUGGGCCAGGUUGCAAAACAUGGCGAAGAGCCCGUGGUUGAAAUUUCUCAUGCUGGGAAACAGCUCUUUAAAGCCCACCUAUCAACUGUUAUGCGAUGGUGGAGACACACUUACUCCUCUCACAUCACACAACAGUGCUCUAACCUGUCUGCUAAAGAAAAACUCUAUGUGCUUGACUAUGGGAACAAUAAAACAGAUCUUGGACUUAUGGGGCCUGGUAUGCGCUCAAGACAUCUGAGGCCUGUGAAAUGUGUGGAUCCAGACUUUGGAGCAUAUGUUUGUGUUGCCUGUUCCCCCGGCCAACCACCUCCACACUCGCUGAUGUCAGCACUGUCCAAUUCUGGAUUUGAUCCAGUACCAUGCAACAUCUUGGAACUAGCACAUACGGACCUGAACGAAUACUCUGGAAUUAUUUUUAGUGGACAUUCUGGAGCUGAAAAGAAUGUAACCGCCGCAUCUAUAUUGGCCAACUCUCUUGUCACCAACCAGGAUUUUACAGAAACACUGACAAGGUUCUACAACAAGAGUCAUACAUUUAUUCUUGGCUUUGGAGAGCUAGGAACACAGCUGCUACUCGCACUUGACAUAGUAAACCUCGACCAAUCCAACCCACAAUUUAUAAGCAGAACAGAGGAAAGGGAGCUGUUCCAGCAUGGGGCUCUAGAGCCUAAUGCCUCCGCGCUCUUGGAAUGUCUCUGGUUGAAUUUUUAUGUGCGCCAGUCCAGAAGCGUUUUCUUGGCCCCAAUCAGUGGCAGUGUUGUUCCAGCGUGGGCGGUCGGUACACAUUUGGGUAUUAACUUCAACCAUGAUGGUGCUGAGCAGAGGCUGAUGACGUCUGGCCAGAUAUCAGCAACCUUCCAUGGACCAGAGCCUGGACGGAACCUAGAAGCUGCGCAUUACCCCAGAAACCCCUCUGGGGCAUCCAACGUGGCCGCAUUUUGUUCACCAGAUGGAAGGGCUACUGCUAUGCUAAUUGAUCCCUCCCAGAGCUUCUUCCCUUGGCAGUGGCAAUAUGAUGCAGAAAAUCUUCAGUGCACCCCUUGGCAAAUUUGCUUUUUUAGAUUGUUGUUGUGGUCAUUGGCAUCUAGAGAUUAGGAGCUUAGUCUACAAACUGCCCUCCUGACAGAUUCUCCCAUCCUUUUCUUAAAAAUGGACCCAAACAGGCUCGUGAUAAGUGUCACGAGUGCACAGAAAAGUGAUUCCAGAAUCAUUGACGCUGUCCCUAGUGUUGCUAGGACAGUUCUAAUCUCACAGGUCUCUUGAACCCACCCUAGUCUCACAACCUCGUCAACCAAUGCUACAAUUUUACCUGGUACACAGAAGAUCAGAAAUAAAAUUGUUGUACAAAUGAAU